rnacentral:tRNA from 1 species
GGAGACGUGGCCGAGAGGCUGAAGGCACUCGUUUGCUAAAUGAGCGUGCUCCAAAAGGGCACCGAGGGUUCGAAUCCCUCCGUCUCCG